AUUGCUUCUCGGCCUUUUGGCUAAGAUCAAGUGUGUUUUCUGGGCAUUCUCAAUAUUUACACAAGUAUUUAUUCAUUUCCUUCAGGAUCUUUACGGCUGGCUGGCCAAAUUUGGGUUUUUCUACAAUAAAAUUAAGUAUGUCCUGAAGAUCAUUUUCAUUAAAAUAUUUAAAGAAAAAUACUCCUAU